GUAGACAUAGUUUAAUGAAAAUCUUAGUUUGUGGUUCUAAAGACAGGGGUUAAAGCCCCCUUGUCCACC
rnacentral:tRNA from 1 species